rnacentral:rRNA from 1 species
UUAAGCGACUAAGCGUACACGGUGGAUGCCCUGGCAGUCAGAGGCGAUGAAGGACGUGCUAAUCUGCGAAAAGCGUCGGUAAGGUGAUAUGAACCGUUAUAGCCGGCGAUGUCCGAAUGGGGAAACCCAGUGUGAUUCGUCACACUAUCGUUAACUGAAUACAUAGGUUAACGAGGCGAACCGGGGGAACUGAAACAUCUAAGUACCCCGAGGAAAAGAAAUCAACCGAGAUUCCCCCAGUAGCGGCGAGCGAACGGGGAGCAGCCCAGAGUCUGAAUCAGCUUGUGUGUUAGUGGAACGGUCUGGAAAGUCCGACGGUACAGGGUGAUAGUCCCGUACACCAAAAUGCACAGGCUGUGAACUCGAAGAGUAGGGCGGGACACGUGGUAUCCUGUCUGAAUAUGGGGGGACCAUCCUCCAAGGCUAAAUACUCCUGACUGACCGAUAGUGAACCAGUACCGUGAGGGAAAGGCGAAAAGAACCCCGGCGAGGGGAGUGAAAAAGAACCUGAAACCGUGUACGUACAAGCAGUGGGAGCACCUUCGGGUGUGACUGCGUACCUUUUGUAUAAUGGGUCAGCGACUUAUAUUCUGUAGCAAGGUUAACCGUAUAGGGGAGCCGCAGGGAAACCGAGUCUUAACUGGGCGUUAAGUUGCAGGGUAUAGACCCGAAACCCGGUGAUCUAGCCAUGGGCAGGUUGAAGGUUGGGUAACACUAACUGGAGGACCGAACCGACUAAUGUUGAAAAAUUAGCGGAUGACUUGUGGCUGGGGGUGAAAGGCCAAUCAAACCGGGAGAUAGCUGGUUCUCCCCGAAAGCUAUUUAGGUAGCGCCUCGUGAACUCAUCUUCGGGGGUAGAGCACUGUUUCGGCUAGGGGGUCAUCCCGACUUACCAACCCGAUGCAAACUACGAAUACCGAAGAAUGUUAUCACGGGAGACACACGGCGGGUGCUAACGUCCGUCGUGAAGAGGGAAACAACCCAGACCGCCAGCUAAGGUCCCAAAGUCAUGGUUAAGUGGGAAACGAUGUGGGAAGGCACAGACAGCCAGGAUGUUGGCUUAGAAGCAGCCAUCAUUUAAAGAAAGCGUAAUAGCUCACUGGUCGAGUCGGCCUGCGCGGAAGAUGUAACGGGGCUAAACCAUGCACCGAAGCUGCGGCAGCGACACUAUGUGUUGUUGGGUAGGGGAGCGUUCUGUAAGCCUGCGAAGGUGACCUGUGAGGGUUGCUGGAGGUAUCAGAAGUGCGAAUGCUGACAUAAGUAACGAUAAAGCGGGUGAAAAGCCCGCUCGCCGGAAGACCAAGGGUUCCUGUCCAACGUUAAUCGGGGCAGGGUGAGUCGACCCCUAAGGCGAGGCCGAAAGGCGUAGUCGAUGGGAAACAGGUUAAUAUUCCUGUACUUGGUGUUACUGCGAAGGGGGGACGGAGAAGGCUAUGUUAGCCGGGCGACGGUUGUCCCGGUUUAAGCAUGUAGGCUGGUUGUCCAGGCAAAUCCGGAUAAUCAAGGCUGAGGUGUGAUGACGAGGCACUACGGUGCUGAAGUAACAAAUGCCCUGCUUCCAGGAAAAGCCUCUAAGCAUCAGGUAACAUCAAAUCGUACCCCAAACCGACACAGGUGGUCAGGUAGAGAAUACCAAGGCGCUUGAGAGAACUCGGGUGAAGGAACUAGGCAAAAUGGUGCCGUAACUUCGGGAGAAGGCACGCUGGUGUGUAGGUGAAGUCCCUGCGGAUGGAGCUGAGACCAGUCGAAGAUACCAGCUGGCUGCAACUGUUUAUUAAAAACACAGCACUGUGCAAACACGAAAGUGGACGUAUACGGUGUGACGCCUGCCCGGUGCCGGAAGGUUAAUUGAUGGGGUUAUCCGUAAGGAGAAGCUCUUGAUCGAAGCCCCGGUAAACGGCGGCCGUAACUAUAACGGUCCUAAGGUAGCGAAAUUCCUUGUCGGGUAAGUUCCGACCUGCACGAAUGGCGUAAUGAUGGCCAGGCUGUCUCCACCCGAGACUCAGUGAAAUUGAACUCGCUGUGAAGAUGCAGUGUACCCGCGGCAAGACGGAAAGACCCCGUGAACCUUUACUAUAGCUUGACACUGAACAUUGAGCCUUGAUGUGUAGGAUAGGUGGGAGGCUUUGAAGCGUGGACGCCAGUCUGCGUGGAGCCAACCUUGAAAUACCACCCUUUAAUGUUUGAUGUUCUAACGUUGGCCCCUUACCGGGGUUGCGGACAGUGUCUGGUGGGUAGUUUGACUGGGGCGGUCUCCUCCCAAAGCGUAACGGAGGAGCACGAAGGUUAGCUAAUCCUGGUCGGACAUCAGGAGGUUAGUGCAAUGGCAUAAGCUAGCUUGACUGCGAGCGUGACGGCGCGAGCAGGUGCGAAAGCAGGUCAUAGUGAUCCGGUGGUUCUGAAUGGAAGGGCCAUCGCUCAACGGAUAAAAGGUACUCCGGGGAUAACAGGCUGAUACCGCCCAAGAGUUCAUAUCGACGGCGGUGUUUGGCACCUCGAUGUCGGCUCAUCACAUCCUGGGGCUGAAGUAGGUCCCAAGGGUAUGGCUGUUCGCCAUUUAAAGUGGUACGCGAGCUGGGUUUAGAACGUCGUGAGACAGUUCGGUCCCUAUCUGCCGUGGGCGCUGGAGAAUUGAGGGGGGCUGCUCCUAGUACGAGAGGACCGGAGUGGACGCAUCACUGGUGUUCGGGUUGUCAUGCCAAUGGCACUGCCCGGUAGCUAAAUGCGGAAGAGAUAAGUGCUGAAAGCAUCUAAGCACGAAACUUGCCCCGAGAUGAGUUCUCCCUGAGACUUUAAGUCUCCUGAAGGAACGUUAAAGACGAUGACGUUGAUAGGCCGGGUGUGUAAGCGCAGCGAUGCGUUGAGCUAACCGGUACUAAUGAACCGUGAGGCUUAACCUU